AACACAAUCUCGUACCCAGAGCAAUGCCUGUGCGCGGGCUAGGAUGGCAUUGGCUCUGGGGAAAUUGACAACCAGAACCCCUAAAUUUAGGGGUUCCGGUUCUUUGUCGGCAUGCACGAUUCAUAAACGUUAAACCAAUCACAGCACAAGAAAAAUUCAAUUUCCCCAAAGCCAAUGCCAUCCUAGCCCGCGCACAGGCAUUGCUCUGAGUACGAGAUUGGGUCGAACAUUGAUAUUAUGUGAUGUUGAGCGAUGUUAUUUAAGCGGGAUUUGGAAAGGCCAGUGGAAUUUACUGGACAGCGGUUUAUUGCUAUCGUCAGCCAUAUUGGAAACAUUUUACGAGAAUAAAUGGUAGUGAUGGGCGAUACCAGCUUUUUUGGUUUCGAUACGAUACCAGUCCGAUACCAUGAAUUUUGGUCGAUACCGAUACCAAAAUCGAUACCGAUACUCAAUUUUUUCCAUUUAUUAAAAUAACUUUUAAAAC